AACGAACGUUGGCGGCGUGGAUUAGGCAUGCAAGUCGAGCGAGAAAGAGGGGGCAACUCCUUGAGUAAAGCGGCGAACUGGUGAGUAAUAGGUGGGUAAUGUGCCUUUCAGUGGGGGAUAACAUCUGGAAACAGGUGCUAAUACCGCAUGGUGCCCGGAGAGUAAGUCAUUCCGGGAUAAAGGUGCCAUAAGCAAUUGUGGUGUCGCUGAAAGAUCGGCCCGCCCCUGAUUAGCCUGUUGGUGGGGUAACGGCCUACCAAAGCUAUGAUCAGUAGCUGGUCUGAGAGGAUGGUCAGCCACACUGGGAGUGAGAUACGGCCCAGACUCCUACGGGAGGCUG
rnacentral:rRNA from 1 species